UGCCCUCGUAGUUCAAUUGGAUAGAAUGCGAGAUUGCGGAUCUCGAGAUUGGCCGUUCGAAUCGGCCCGAGGGCAU
rnacentral:tRNA from 1 species